UUUGAUUUCCUUCGGGACUGAUUAUUUUGUGACUGAGUGGCGGACGGGUGAGUAACGCGUGGGUAACCUGCCUUGUACAGGGGGAUAACAGUUGGAAACGGCUGCUAAUACCGCAUAAGCCCACGGUGCCGCAUGGCACAGAGGGAAAAGGAGCAAUCCGCUUUGAGAUGGCCUCGCGUCCGAUUAGCUAGUUGGUGAGGUAACGGCCCACCAAGGCGACGAUCGGUAGCCGGACUGAGAGGGUGACCGGCCACAUUGGGACUGAGAUACGGCCCAGACUCC
rnacentral:rRNA from 1 species